GUUUAAAUGUAAUUGAAAUCUAACUUGUGAUGUAUUUACAACCACAUAAUUGUGGAACAAUUUCUUUAACCAACUUUUUCUGUAUCUCUUGCAGUAAACAAAUUCUAAAACACAUUAAAAGAAACUUAAGACAAUUGCUCUAAUCCUACCUAUCCAUUUAACAUCCCAUGAAGUUGAAAAAGGAAAGGUGAUAAUAAUUUCAUAAAACUCAACAACAAUAGAGGAGGAUUCUUUUCCUUUCUGGCAUUGGUUUUUUUUCUCUUCACUUUGCUGAUUCUCCCUUCAAUUGGCUACCUGCAAUGAUCCAUCUCUCAUUAAUUUUAAGCUCAGACUAUUGAAUCUUUCUCUUGAAUAUUGCCUGGAGGCUUUUCUCCAGUCUGUGCCAGCCUUCAUCAUUGCAGCAAACUCCUCAUAGCUUAUGCGCCCAUCCUGCCAGAUACAUAGAAUGCCAACAAGGUUAACCUUACAAAACCAAUCAAAUGCAGAACUUAAAUACGUUCUAGCAACCCAACCUAAUGAAAAUGGUAAAAGACGAAUUUAAGUAAUUGAAACAGAUGGUAUGGAGAUGCAAAUCAGCUGCCCUGCUUGUUAUUCUGAAUCCAUCAUCCACAGCAUUGAUGGACAAACCAUUAAUAAUAUGGACUUAAGCAGCCCAACUAGGUAGAUGUCUACAGACUUACAAUAAAGAAAUACAUUCGCGAGAUAAGUCAAAACAGUGAGUAAUGAUUGAAGAGAAGACAACUAAUGCAGUGUGAAAAUAAAACGAAUAAGCUUUUAACAUGAUGAUUUCAAGCAUACUAGAACAAUAUAAAAAAAUUGAAUAAUACCAGAACCAUAUGAUCAUAAAUUAGAAUGUGAUGAGAUGAAAUGGGAACAGGAAAACAAAAGGCACAAGUGAACAGUCAAACAGAGUCAUCAAAGACUUAGAGGAUCCAAAAUGAUGUAAUAAGAAAUCAUCUCACUAAUUCCAAUUAGGCAUAUAAUAUAUUGGCCUCAUCUAGAGUAGACUGUUGGAGAGAUCUAGAAUUGAAAAAUGAUUCUUUCUUAUCCAUAAAUAGUUAUUACUAACCUUGUCUGUAUCAACAUCAUGCAUGAUGGCAUUGAUAACAUCCUCACUACAGGUGUCAACUUCAUCAUUUAAGGAUUCUCUCAAUUCUUCAAUCUCUAUGUAACCACUUUGAUUUUGAUCAAAAAAUGCAAAAGCUUUAUGUAGGUGUUCAUCAUUGGCCAUCUUUUUAAUGUGAACUGAAACUGCGACAAACUCCCCAUAAUUCAGUGUUCCAUCACCAUCAACAUCAGCCUGUAGCAACCAGUUCUCAGUUACUCAUUUCAUAAAAGUGCAAAACUGGUACAAGUGAAACUUUCUUCAGAAGACAAUGAAAUCAAACUUAGUGAACAGAUUUUCUCUUAUGUUGUCUGGGGUAGAGAUACAAGAAAUAUAACCAGGAAUUAGUUAAUUAUUUGACAAAAAAAUUAUGGAUCACGGGAAAAUUCCAUCUGUAAAAAUAAAAUGGUCAGAUGUGGGGGAAAACCAAGCAUGUUUUCCUCCUCACUUGGAUUGGGUGAACAGAGUAAAAGUUAAGAAAUCUUGCCAAACUCAUCACAAAUGGAAUCAGCAGUCCCGAAAACUUAUUGCAAUUUCAAUCAUCAAACUUAGGCUUUUUCAACUUAUCUGCCCAAUUAUGCUGCUGCUUCUUGUUUUGCAUGGGAUGAGGUAAAAAUUGCCUAAAUUUAGAUUUUGAAGAUUACAUAAAAAUUUAAGGAAGUAGCAUUUUACAGAGAAGCCUGAUGAAUGGACUUCAUUUCUUUUCAUUUUUCUCUACUUGGGAAUAGGAGGAAUAACUUAGUUAGAAACAAAAUAAUGCUUACAGCAUCCAUUAGAAUUUGCAGAUCUGCAUCAGGAAUUGGCUGGCCAAGCCUUUGCAACCCAUUUCUAAGCUCCUCAAUGUUAAUCUUGCCUCUUUUGGUUGUGUCCAUCAUGUCAAAGGCCUCCUGUAAGCCAGCCACUUCCUCCACCGACAAAUGCUCAGCCACCACCCUCAAUGCCUUUUUUUUUAGCUUGUUCAUCACAGAAAACUGUUUGAGCCUUGCUUUCACAGUCUCCCCCAAUGAGACAUUUGGAGCCUUCUUUGCAUUUUGUAACCAAGGAUGUUCAAGCACUUGCUGAGCUGUAAGUCGUAGCUUAGGAUCAGGAUUAAGCAUUUUCUUCACUAGGUCCUUUGCAUUAUCAGAAACUUUAGGCCAUGGAUCCCUCUUGAAAUCAAUGACAGAGCGAAUAAUUGCCUUUGCUACCCCUUGCUCGGUUUCUGCAUGAACAAGAUAAUGAAUAUUAUGAGAAGGAAAUCCAAAAAAACAGAGGAAACUAUAGGAGCACCUCGGGAAAAGUAACAAAUAAAAUGGUUAAAAUUAGCAAUUUGAUUUUUUUUUUCUUUUCUCUUUUUUGUUCAAGGGAAGGGAAGGAACAAGCAAAGGCUUGAAGAACCUCUGACUAACUGCAUUAUCGGUUUUCAUGUGAUCUUUUAAUAUUCUGCAACCAUAAAAGGUAAAGUAAAAACCAUAUUUACAGCCUUUCUCAAUCCAACACUCAGUUACCAAUAAAAUUAAGAAAAAAAAACCUGCCCAGAAAGGUGGGACACCAC
rnacentral:misc_RNA from 1 species